GUGUCAGCAGCCGCGGUAAUACGGAGGAUCCGAGCGUUAUCCGGAUUUAUUGGGUUUAAAGGGUGCGUAGGCGGCCUAUUAAGUCAGGGGUGAAAGACGGCAGCUUAACUGUCGCAGUGCCUUUGAUACUGAUAGGCUUGAAUGUGGUUGAAGAUGGCGGAAUGAGACAAGUAGCGGUGAAAUGCAUAGAUAUGUCUCAGAACUCCGAUUGCGAAGGCAGCUGUCUAAGUCAUUAUUGACGCUGAUGCACGAAAGCGUGGGGAUCGAACAGGAUUAGAUACCCUAGUAGUCC
rnacentral:rRNA from 1 species